UACGGGGGGAGCAAGCGUUGUUCGGAUUUACUGGGCGUAAAGGGCGCGUAGGCGGCGUGACAAGUCACUUGUGAAAUCUCCGGGCUUAACUCGGAACGGUCAAGUGAUACUGUCGGACUAGAGUACAGAAGGGGCAACUGGAAUUCUCGGUGUAGCGGUGAAAUGCGUAGAUAUCGAGAGGAACACCUGCGGCGAAGGCGACUACCUGGCCUGUUCUUGACGCUGAGGCGCGAAAGCUAGGGGAGCAAACGGG
rnacentral:rRNA from 1 species